GACGAACGCUGGCGGCGUGCUUAACACAUGCAAGUCGAACGAUGAAGCCGGAGCUUGCUCUGGUGAAUUAGUGGCGAACGGGUGAGUAACACGUGAGUAACCUGCCCUUGACUCUGGGAUAACUGCGGGAAACUGUAGCUAAUACCGGAUACGACCCUCGGAGGCAUCUCCUGGGGGUGGAAAGAAUUUCGGUCAAGGAUGGACUCGCGGCCGAUCAGCUAGUUGGUGAGGUAAAGGCUCACCAAGGCGACGACGGGUAGCCGGCCUGAGAGGGUGACCGGCCACACUGGGACUGAGACACGGCCCAGACUCCUACGGGAGGCAGCAGUGGGGAAUAUUGCACAAUGGGUGCAAGCCUGAUGCAGCAACGCCGCGUGAGGGAUGACGGCCUUCGGAUUGUAAACCUCUUUUAGCAGGGAAGAAGCGAAAGUGACGGUACCUGCAGAAAAAGCACCGGCUAACUACGUGCCAGCAGCCGCCGUAA
rnacentral:rRNA from 1 species